rnacentral:rRNA from 1 species
CCGCAAUGGGCGAAAGCCUGACGGAGCAACGCCGCGUGAGUGAAGAAGGUCUUCGGAUCGUAAAACUCUGUUAUUAGGGAAGAACAAAUGUGUAAGUAACUAUGCAUGUCUUGACGGUACCUAAUCAGAAAGCCACGGCUAACUACGUGCCAGCAGCCGCGGUAAUACGUAGGUGGCAAGCGUUAUCCGGAAUUAUUGGGCGUAAAGCGCGCGUAGGCGGUUUUUUAAGUCUGA